rnacentral:rRNA from 1 species
UACGUAGGGUGCGAGCGUUAAUCGGAAUUACUGGGCGUAAAGGGCGCGUAGGCGGUUUGCUAAGUUGAAUGUGAAAACUCUGGGCUUAACCCAGAGCCUGCAUUCAAUACUGGCAGGCUGGAGUUCUGGAGGGGAUAGCGGAAUUCCUGGUGUAGCGGUGAAAUGCGUAGAUAUCAGGAGGAACACCGGUGGCGAAGGCGGCUAUCUGGACAGAAACUGACGCUGAGGCGCGAAAGCUAGGGGAGCAAACAGG